rnacentral:lncRNA from 1 species
AUGCCCAGAGGCGAGCUGUGUGAGCUACACACCUGGAUACGGCGGUGCGCCAAGGGGACCCCCAGAGACGCCGCUCCGGCACAGACAGUAGGGGUGCUGCCAAGCCCUCCUUUUCUGAGCACGCUCCCCACACCACCUGUCACGUCCGCAUCGGACGUGUACCAACCCCUUGGACACGACUGCCACCAACAACGGAAACAUCCACCACUUGCCUGGCACCGACCGGGCCACAAGCCGGGGUUGUUUCUUUGUGAACGGUGGCUCUCCCAUCAGCCCUCCGAGAGGGGACUGCCUCACCCCCACUUCACAGAUGGGGAAGCUGAGGCACAGCAAGGCCAAGUCACUCGCCCAGGGCCAAACACAAAAGCCCGGAAGUGCCCCUCGCUGGCCCGGCCGGUCGGCGUCUCCACAGACCCCCACGCUUGUCAUGACAGCAGCAACGAUUCCCACGGGGGUCUCCGGGGUGGGGCAUCUGAACACCAGCCUCCUCCCACACGCCCCGCCCUCCGCCCCCCUGCACGGGAUGGGACCACCCCACCCCGGGCUCCACACCUCGCUGGCUGGUGGGACCUCCGGGACCUGCCUUCUGUGCCCCCGCACUGGCCACCGUGGGCCCCACAUCGUGAUGGGUGGCAUGGACGGAGUGCUCCCCGGCUGAGCACCGCCCGCGCCUCCAGCCUCGGGCCUCUCCCCACGGCCCCAGGGGAGGGGACCGUCCUUGCGUCCACUUUGCAGAUGGAGACGCAGACCCAGAGAGGCGCAGGCACAGGCCGACGGUCACACAGGCUGCCGGUGGGAUUGGAACCCGGAACGCGGCCGGAUCACCACGCUGCCGCUCUUCCCUCCAGCCACCCUGGGAGAGGCCUCGUCACCGGGAUCCACCUGUUCUCCGCCCCCACCUGGUGCCAAGAACGAAGCAGAGAUGCAGAUGCCAGGGGCACCAAAGAGAGAAGGGACGCAAAAGGCAGAAAGAGCCAGAGACGCCGGGACAGAGACACACACAGCUGGAGAUGGACAGACGCACACACGCGAGGGGACGAGAGACUGCGCAAGGGGGCAGAAGAACAGAGAAACCCAGAGAGCCAGCCGAGAUCCAGGAGGAGGUGGAGGCACGGAGCCUGGGGCACCCGAGGCCUCCUGGGCUUCGCCAUCGUCCCAGCCCCGGCGCUGAGGGAAUCUCGGCACUGCGCCCGCCGGAGAGGACUGGGGCAGAUGGCAGAUCGGAAACUCGGGGAGCAGGGGAGGCGGGGCGAAGAGAAAAGGGAGGCAGGGAAAAUUCCCACCAGGCGGACUCAAUUUUCUGGGGGAAGUUCAGAAGGUGAGGAAAAAAAAAAAGAUAGGAAAUUGACUGCCGUCACAGCAAGAGGGAUGCAGGUCAGAUCUAAAGAAGGACUUCCCGACUGUGAGGGACUGGGGCGGAAGUGGAGCCUGGAGCCGGGAAGGUGGAGAGACAUCAAAGUCAGGGAGAGACCAGCACUUCUGUCUCUGGAUGCCUGUCGGAUGGGCGAGGCCCGGAGCUGUGAAGGCAGGCCGGGGGGAGGGGGGGGCGGCAUAGACAGCACAGGCUUCAGAGAUGGAUGA